rnacentral:rRNA from 1 species
GACGAACGCUGGCGGCGUGCUUAACACAUGCAAGUCGAACGGAAAGGCCCUGCUUUUGUGGGGUGCUCGAGCGGCGAACAGGUGAGUAACACGUGAGUAACCUGCCCUUGACUUUGGGAUAACUUCAGGAACCUGGGGCUAAUACCGGAUAGGAGCUCCUGCUGCAUGGUGGGGGUUGGAAAGUUUCGGCGGUUGGGGAUGGACUCGCGGCUUAUCAGCUUGUUGGUGGGGUAGUGGCUUACCAAGGCUUUGACGGGUAGCCGGCCUGAGAGGGUGACCGGCCACAUUGGGACUGAGAUACGGCCCAGACUCCUACGGGAGGCAGCAGUGGGGAAUAUUGCACAAUGGGCGGAAGCCUGAUGCAGCAACGCCGCGUGCGGGAUGACGGCCUUCGGGUUGUAAACCGCUUUCGCCUGUGACGAAGCGUGAGUGACGGUAAUGGGUAAAGAAGCACCGGCUAACUACGUG